GCAUCGAUAGCUCAGUGGCAGAGCGGUGGGGCGUUUACCCAUGCGGCCCGGGUUCGAUCCCCGGUCGACGCA